rnacentral:miRNA from 1 species
UUCUGUGAGACAAACUGAAGUGC